CCUACGGGAGGCAGCAGUGGGGAAUAUUGCACAAUGGGGGAAACCCUGAUGCAGCGACGCCGCGUGAGGGAAGAAGUAUUUCGGUAUGUAAACUUCUAUCAGCAGGGAAGAAAAUGACGGUACCUGACUAAGAAGCCCCGGCUAACUACGUGCCAGCAGCCGCGGUAAUACGUAGGGGGCAAGCGUUAUCCGGAUUUACUGGGUGUAAAGGGAGCGUAGACGGUUGAGCAAGUCAGAAGUGAAAGCCCGGGGCUCAACGCCGGGACUGCUUUUGAAACUGUUGAACUAGAGUGCAGGAGAGGUAAGUGGAAUUCCUAGUGUAGCGGUGAAAUGCGUAGAUAUUAGGAGGAACACCAGUGGCGAAGGCGGCUUACUGGACUGUAAAUGACGCUGAGGCUCGAAAGCGUGGGGAGCAAACAGGAUUAGAUACCCUUGUAGUC
rnacentral:rRNA from 1 species